GCGUGGGAAUUUGCCUAAUAGUGGGGAGUAGCCCACGAGAAAUUUAGGUAGUAAAUUAACCGCAUAAUCUCUACGGAGUAAAGGUAGGCCUCUCCUUGGAAGCUAUCGCUAUUAGAUAAGCCCGCCGUCAGAUUAGCUAGUUGGUGAGGUAAAAGCUCACCAAGGCAACGAUCUGUAGCUGGUCUGAGAGGAUGAUCAGCCACACUGGGAACUGAGACACGGUCCAGACUCCUACGGGAGGCAGCAGUGGGGAAGUAAUUGCACAAUGGGCGGCAAGCCUGAUGCAGCCAUGCCGCGUGU
rnacentral:rRNA from 1 species